UCGGGAAUUUUGGGCAAUGGGCGAAAGCCUGACCCAGCAACGCCGCGUGAAGGAUGAAGUAUUUCGGUAUGUAAACUUCGAAAGAAUAGGAAGAAUAAAUGACGGUACUAUUUAUAAGGUCCGGCUAACUACGUGCCAGCAGCCGCGGUAAUACGUAGGGACCAAGCGUUGUUCGGAUUUACUGGGCGUAAAGGGCGCGUAGGCGGCGUGGUAAGUCACUUGUGAAAUCUCCGAGCUUAACUCGGAACGGUCAAGUGAUACUGCUGUGCUAGAGUACAGAAGGGGCAAUCGGAAUUCUUGGUGUAGCGGUGAAAUGCGUAGAUAUCAAGAGGAACACCUGAGGUGAAGACGGGUUGCUGGGCUGGAUACUGACGCUGAGGCGCGAAAGCUAGGGUAGCAAACGGGAUUAGAUACCCACGUAGUCCCUGAGCGGGCUGGCAAGGCGCAU
rnacentral:rRNA from 1 species